GAUGAACGCUGGCGGCGUGCUUAACACAUGCGAGUCGAACGGAAAGGCCCAAGCUUGCUUGGGUACUCGAGUGGCGAACGGGUGAGUAACACGUGGGUAAUCUGCCCUGCACUUCGGGAUAAGCCUGGGAAACUGGGUCUAAUACCGGAUAGGACCACAUUUUGGAUGGUGUGGUGGAAAGUUUUUCGGUGUGGGAUGAGCUCGCGGCCUAUCAGCUUGUUGGUGGGGUAAUGGCCUACCAAGGCGUCGACGGGUAGCCGGCCUGAGAGGGUGUACGGCCACAUUGGGACUGAGAUACGGCCCAGACUCCUACGGGAGGCAGCAGUGGGGAAUAUUGCACAAUGGGCGCAAGCCUGAUGCAGCGACGCCGCGUGGGGGAUGACGGCCUUCGGGUUGUAAACUCCUUUCGCUAGGGACGAAGCGCAAGUGACGGUACCUGGAGAAGAAGCACCGGCUAACUACGUG
rnacentral:rRNA from 1 species